rnacentral:tRNA from 1 species
GCCGUAGUCGCCUAGAGGAUGGGCAUUGACCUUCUAAGUCAAUUUACGUGGGUUCGAAUCCUACCUACGGCG